rnacentral:rRNA from 1 species
GAUGAACGCUGGCGGCGUGCCUAAUACAUGCAAGUCGAGCGAACAGACGAGGAGCUUGCUCCUCUGACGUUAGCGGCGGACGGGUGAGUAACACGUGGAUAACCUACCUAUAAGACUGGGAUAACUUCGGGAAACCGGAGCUAAUACCGGAUAAUAUAUUGAACCGCAUGGUUCAAUAGUGAAAGACGGUUUUGCUGUUACUUAUAGAUGGAUCCGCGCCGCAUUAGCUAGUUGGUAAGGUAACGGCUUACCAAGGCAACGAUGCGUAGCCGACCUGAGAGGGUGAUCGGCCACACUGGAACUGAGACACGGUCCAGACUCCUACGGGAGGCAGCAGUAGGGAAUCUUCCGCAAUGGGCGAAAGCUUGACGGAGCAACGCCGCGUGAGUGAUGAAGGUCUUCGGAUCGUAAAACUCUGUUAUUAGGGAAGAAAAAAUGUGUAAGUAACUAUGCACGUCUUGACGGUACCUAAUCAGAAAGCCACGGCUAACUACGUG